rnacentral:rRNA from 1 species
CCUACGGGUGGCAGCAGUAGGGAAUUUUCGUCAAUGGGCGCAAGCCUGAACGAGCAAUGCCGCGUGAACGAGGAAGGUCUUCGGAUCGUAAAGUUCUGUUGAAGGGGAAAAAGAGCGGAGAGAGGAAAUGGUCUCCGAUUGAUAUUACCCUUCGAGGAAGUCACGGCUAACUACGUGCCAGCAGCCGCGGUAAUACGUAGGUGGCGAGCGUUAUCCGGAAUGAUUGGGCGUAAAGGGUGCGUAGGCGGCCUGCUAAGUCUGGAGUGAAAGGUACCGGCUCAACCGGUAUAGGCUCUGGAAACUGGCGGGCUAGAGAGCAGGAGAGGGCGGUGGAACUCCAUGUGUAGCGGUAAAAUGCGUAGAUAUAUGGAAGAACACCAGUGGCGAAGGCGGCUGUCUGGUCUGCAACUGACGCUGAGGCUCGAAAGCAUGGGUAGCGAACAGGAUUAGAUACCCCAGUAGUC